rnacentral:rRNA from 1 species
UACGUAGGGGGCAAGCGUUAUCCGGAAUUACUGGGUGUAAAGGGUGAGUAGGCGGCAUGGUAAGCCAGAUGUGAAAGCCUUGGGCUUAACCCGAGGAUUGCAUUUGGGACUAUCAAGCUAGAGUACAGGAGAGGAAAGCGGAAUUCCUAGUGUAGCGGUGAAAUGCGUAGAUAUUAGGAAGAACACCAGUGGCGAAGGCGGCUUUCUGGACUGAAACUGACGCUGAGGCACGAAAGCGUGGGGAGCGAACAGG